rnacentral:lncRNA from 1 species
CUAUAUAAACUUCCAUGACUUUACCCUUCCUUAUGUCUACAAAGCCUCUAGGAUAUACAUGACAUAACUAGGGUCGGGACAAACCCCUGCCCACACAUGACUCAUGUUCAAUAACAAAACAUAAGGAACCGACUCGGAAAGCUCCGAAGCAAACUGGAGCUCACCAACAAUAGCUGUAUGACCUGGCUCCUACUUGUGCGGUGUAUGAGCUGAGGUACCUGUGCCUGCAGCAUGAAAUGCAGGUCCCCCGUGAGGGACGUCAGUACGAAAUAUGUACUGAGUAUGUAAAGCUGUAAAUAAUCACAUAUGAUAUAGGAGCU